GCCGGACGCGGUGGCACACGCCUGUAAUCCCAGCAACUUGGGAGGCUGAGUCAGGAGGAUUGCCAAGUCCAAAGCCAGCAUGGGCAACUUAGUGAGACCCUGUCUCAA
rnacentral:sRNA from 1 species